UACGUAGGGUGCGAGCGUUAAUCGGAAUUACUGGGCGUAAAGCGUGCGCAGGCGGCGCGUUAAGACAGGUGUGAAAGCCCCGAGCUUAACUUGGGAAUUGCGCUUGUGACUGGCGUGCUGGAGUGUGGCAGAGGGAGGUGGAAUUCCACGUGUAGCAGUGAAAUGCGUAGAGAUGUGGAGGAACACCCGUGGCGAAGGCAGCUCUCUGGGACGGUACUGACGCUGAGACGCGAAAGCGUGGGGAGCAAACAGG
rnacentral:rRNA from 1 species